GCGCCCCUCCCCCACCGCGGCCGCCGCGCGCGACCCCCACCCGGCGCGAGAUCCGACGCGGCGUCCCCUCCGACGCCUAGUCCCCGCGCCCUGCCGCUGCCCAGGGACACGGGAACGCGUCGCACCCCCGCCCCCUGCUUACCUGUGGCUGCCGCCUCGCCGCUGUCCGGGGCGGGAACUUCCACUCCCCCCUCCCAGGUGGAUCCGAAAUUCUCUACCCACUUCUCCACGCCCUCACGCGCCGGGCCAUAAUCUCAAGUGCAACGGCUGAGUGGAAAGUGAGCAUCCUCAUCACAAUUUUGCCUUUCAUAGUAGUGCUUCUGAAGUGCCAUCGUGUGACUUUGCCUCUCAAGACGUAGAGUCCUCUCCCUUGAAUCUGGGCUGGGCAGUGGAAUGCAGCCAAAGUGGUGUAUGACCUCCAAGAGUGUAUGAGAAGUUUACAGCCUAACCUGCUCUUGCCCCUGAUGUCUCCUUUGAGAAUCCAGCUGCUUGCUCUGAGAAUCCCAAGCUAGGAGGAGAGGCUACACUGAAAGUCCUAACCACUUCAGUGGCGGGAGGAGUGGGAGAGGUUCCUUUUUCAAUCCAGGGGCCUCCAUAAUGUUGGUCUGUUGUUACCAAACACACAGGCAAGCGGCGUCAUGGAUUUGGUAAACUAACUACAUACAAUGUUUAGUCUCUCUCUGCUAGAGCAACAAGGCGUAAACACCCAGACAGAAUGUGUUCCAGAGUUUUGGCUAGGCUGUUUCUAUCAAUAAUGGCCUUUUGGGUCUGUCCUAAGACCUUCUACCACAAAGGUUCUACUUAACGUGGAAAGAGCACAAGCAUUGCGUCUUC